AUGCAUUGCUUUCCCUGUAUUUCUUGCCAUCCACUCCUUCCUUCGAGUUAUUCUUUACUUUUUGACUUGGCUUUUUCUUCUUUUCUCUUUACCUUUCUUCUCUUGUCAUUACCAUUUUUCCUUUUUUUCUUUUUUCAUCUAUUAUUUUUUUCUUUUCUUUUUUUCUUUUUUCUUUUUUUUCAUAUUUUUCUGUCCUCUUUUUUUUUUUUUCUUUUUUUUUUUUUUUUUUUUUUUCUUUUUUUUUUUUUUUUCUUUUUUUUUUUUUUCUUUUCCUUUUUUCUUUUUUUUUUUUUCUUUUCUCUUUUUUCUUUUUGUUCAUUUUUUUCUUUUCUUUUUCUCUUUUUCUUAUUUUUCUUCUUUUUUCUCUUAUUUCAUAUUUUUUGUUCUUAUUUUUUUCUUUUCUUUUUUCAUCAUUGGUUUGCUUCAGCCCUCCCCUCAGCCCUUCCCUCCGCUCUGCUCUUCACCCAUCCCCUCCCCUCCCCAUCCCUCUUUCUCCCUUACCCCCCUUUCCCCUUGCCUUUGCCUCCCAUUACCUUGCCUGCCCUUCACUUACCUUCUCCUCACUUCCUGCUUCUUGAUGCUCUGGGCUUUUGCUGCUACUCACGCCAAACCUCAGCACUUGCCUACUCUGCUUGCUGCUCUGCCAAGUUGCUCUCUACUCUGCUCACAGCUUCACGCCUACUGCCUGCCCUUCUCUGUCCCCUUCUCGUGCCCUUCAGGCUUUUCCUCCCCUUGCUGAGCAAGGCCAUGCCCGGUAGCUACCCUUGAACCUCCUCCGCCCUUUGCCUUCCUCCACAGAGAUGCUUGCUUCUGGCCAGCACUCCUGCCCGGUGCCUAGCCCACACACCUCAUCUCUUGGGGAGAUAGCAAGGUGGCCUGUAGCUACCCACACCUCCUCCCGGGCAUGGCUUCUCAGCUUUGCUUCAAGCCCAGAACCCAAAGGAGCUCCUCUUACCUUUUGGCCCACAUUCUUCUCCUCCCGCGCAGCUCCUGUGGCAAGCAGGGGCACAGCUCUGGCCAGAUUCCUCCAUUCCUGCAAGGUUGCUUUUUGUCAUUCUUUGCCUUCUUUUGCUUUGCUCUCUUUUGCUGUGCUAUGCCUAGCUUUCCUACUUGCUUGCUCUGUAUUUACAUGCAUUGCUUUUUACUUGUUAUUCUCUUUUUUCCUCUGUUUCAUUAUUUUCCCUUCAACCCUCCCCUUCCCUCACCCUACCUCCAAUUUUUCCUUCCUACC
rnacentral:lncRNA from 7 species